rnacentral:rRNA from 1 species
GCUAACUACGUGCCAGCAGCCGCGGUAAAACGGAAGUCACAAGCGUUGUCCGGAAUUACUGGGUGUAAGGGAGCGCAGGCGGGAGAACAAGUUGGAAGUGAAAUCCAUGGGCCUCACCCAUGAACUGCUUUCAAAACUGUUUUCCCUUGAAUAGUGCAGAGGUAGGGGGAAUUCCCGGUGUAGCGGUGGAAUGCGUAGAUAUUGGGAGGAACACCAGUGGCGGAAGGCGGCCUACUGGGCACCAACUGACGCUGAGGCUGGAAAGUGUGGGUAGCAAACAGGAUUAGAUACCCUGGGUAGUCCACACCGUAAACGAUGAUUACUAGGUGUUGGAGGAUUGACCCCUUCAGUGCCGCAGUUAACACAAUAAGUAAUCCACCUGGGGAGUACGACCGCAAGGUUGAAACUCAAAGGAAUUGACGGGGGCCCGCACAAGCAGUGGAGUAUGUGGUUUAAUUCGACGCAACGCGAAGAACCUUACCAAGUCUUGACAUCCCUUGACGAACAUAGAAAUAUGUUUUCUCUUCGGAGCAAGGAGACAGGUGGUGCAUGGUUGUCGUCAGCUCGUGUCGUGAGAUGUUGGGUUAAGUCCCGCAACGAGCGCAACCCUUAUGGUCAGUUACUACGCAAGAGGACUCUGGCCAGACUGCCGUUGACAAAACGGAGGAAGGUGGGGAUGACGUCAAAUCAUCAUGCCCUUUAUGACUUGGGCUACACACGUACUACAAUGGCGUUAAACAAAGAGAAGCAAGACCGCGAGGUGGAGCAAAACUCAGAAACAACGUCCCAGUUCGGACUGCAGGCUGCAACUCGCCUGCACGAAGUCGGAAUUGCUAGUAAUCGUGGAUCAGCAUGCCACGGUGAAUACGUUCCCGGGCCUUGUACACACCGCCCGUCACACCAUGAGAGCCGGGGGGACCCGAAGUCGGUAGUCUAACCGCAAGGAGGACGCCGCCGAAGGUAAAACUGGUGAUUGG